rnacentral:tRNA from 1 species
AGGAAUUAAUUUAAAAUUAAAAAUGUAGGAAUGUCAGACCUAAUUUAUACUUAGUAUAUUUCUUUA